rnacentral:rRNA from 1 species
AUUGAACGCUGGCGGCAGGCCUAACACAUGCAAGUCGAGCGGAUGAAGGGAGCUUGCUCCUGGAUUCAGCGGCGGACGGGUGAGUAAUGCCUAGGAAUCUGCCUGGUAGUGGGGGAUAACGUCCGGAAACGGGCGCUAAUACCGCAUACGUCCUGAGGGAGAAAGUGGGGGAUCUUCGGACCUCACGCUAUCAGAUGAGCCUAGGUCGGAUUAGCUAGUUGGUGGGGUAAAGGCCUACCAAGGCGACGAUCCGUAACUGGUCUGAGAGGAUGAUCAGUCACACUGGAACUGAGACACGGUCCAGACUCCUACGGGAGGCAGCAGUGGGGAAUAUUGGACAAUGGGCGAAAGCCUGAUCCAGCCAUGCCGCGUGUGUGAAGAAGGUCUUCUGAUUGUAAAGCACUUUAAGUUGGGAGGAAGGGCAGUAAGUUAAUACCUUGCUGUUUUGACGUUACCAACAGAAUAAGCACCGGCUAACUUCGUG